GACGAACGCUGGCGGCGUGCCUAAUACAUGCAAGUCGAGCGGACAGAUGGGAGCUUGCUCCCUGAAGUCAGCGGCGGACGGGUGAGUAACACGUGGGCAACCUGCCUGUAAGACUGGGAUAACUUCGGGAAACCGGAGCUAAUACCGGAUACGUUCUUUCCUCGCAUGAGGAAAGAUGGAAAGAUGGUUUCGGCUAUCACUUACAGAUGGGCCCGCGGCGCAUUAGCUAGUUGGUGGGGUAAUGGCCUACCAAGGCGACGAUGCGUAGCCGACCUGGGAGGGUGAUCGGCCACACUGGGACUGAGACACGGCCCAGACUCCUACGGGAGGCAGCAGUAGGGAAUCUUCCGCAAUGGACGAAAGUCUGACGGAGCAACGCCGCGUGAGCGAAGAAGGCCUUCGGGUCGUAAAGCUCUGUUGUCAGGGAAGAACAAGUGCCAGAGUAACUGUUGGCACCUUGACGGUACCUGACCAGAAAGCCACGGCUAACUACGUGCCAGCAGCCGCGGUAACAC
rnacentral:rRNA from 1 species